rnacentral:rRNA from 1 species
GAUGAACGCUGGCGGCAUGCCUAAUACAUGCAAGUCGAACGAGAGGAAGGAAAGCUUGCUUUUCUGAAUCUAGUGGCGAACGGGUGAGUAACACGUAGGUAACCUGCCCAUGUGCCCGGGAUAACUUCUGGAAACGGAUGCUAAAACCGGAUAGGUAGCAGACAAGCAUUUGACUGCUAUUAAAGUGGCUAAGGCCAUGAACAUGGAUGGACCUGCGGUGCAUUAGCUAGUUGGUGAGGUAACGGCCCACCAAGGCGACGAUGUAUAGCCGGCCUGGGAGGGCGGACGGCCACAUUGGGACUGAGACACGGCCCAAACGCCUACGGGAGGCAGCAGUAGGGAAUUUUCGUCAAUGGGGGGAACCCUGAACGAGCAAUGCCGCGUGAGUGAGGAAGGUCUUCGGAUCGUAAAGCUCUGUUGUAAGAGAAAAACGACAUUCAUAGGGAAUGAUGAGUGAGUGAUGGUAUCUUACCAGAAAGUCACGGCUAACUACGUGCCAGCCGCCGCGGUAA